rnacentral:rRNA from 1 species
GAUGAACGCUGGCGGCGUGCCUAAUACAUGCAAGUCGAGCGAACAGACGAGGAGCUUGCUCCUCUGACGUUAGCGGCGGACGGGUGAGUAACACGUGGAUAACCUACCUAUAAGACUGGGAUAACUUCGGGAAACCGGAGCUAAUACCGGAUAAUAUAUUGAACCGUAUGGUUCAAUAGUGAAAGACGGCUUUGCUGUCACUUAUAGAUGGAUCCGCGCCGCAUUAGCUAGUUGGUAAGGUAACGGCUUACCAAGGCAACGAUGCGUAGCCGACCUGAGAGGGUGAUCGGCCACACUGGAACUGAGACACGGUCCAGACUCCUACGGGAGGCAGCAGUAGGGAAUCUUCCGCAAUGGGCGAAAGCCUGACGGAGCAACGCCGCGUGAGUGAUGAAGGUCUUCGGAUCGUAAAACUCUGUUAUUAGGGAAGAACAAAUGUGUAAGUAACUAUGCACGUCUUGACGGUACCUAAUCAGAAAGCCACGGCUAACUACGUG